GUGCUCAUUUCGGCAGCACUCUGUAUUGUAUUGGAACAAUACAGAGAAGAUUAGCAUGGCCCCUGAGCAAGGGUGACAAGCAUAUUUGUGAAGUGUUCCUUAUUUUU
rnacentral:snRNA from 1 species